UGGGGAAUUUUGGACAAUGGGCGAAAGCCUGAUCCAGCAAUGCCGCGUGUGUGAAGAAGGCCUUCGGGUUGUAAAGCACUUUUGUCCGGAAAGAAAUCCUCUGGGUUAAUACCUCGGGGGGAUGACGGUACCGGAAGAAUAAGCACCGGCUAACUACGUGCCAGCAGCCGCGGUAAUACGUAGGGUGCAAGCGUUAAUCGGAAUUACUGGGCGUAAAGCGUGCGCAGGCGGUUUUGUAAGACGGAUGUGAAAUCCCCGGGCUUAACCUGGGAACUGCAUUCGUGACUGCAAGGCUAGAGUAUGGCAGAGGGGGGUAGAAUUCCACGUGUAGCAGUGAAAUGCGUAGAGAUGUGGAGGAAUACCGAUGGCGAAGGCAGCCCCCUGGGCCAAUACUGACGCUCAUGCACGAAAGCGUGGGGAGCAAACAGGAUUAGAUACCCUGGUAGUCCACGCCCUAAACGAUGUCAACUAGUUGUUGGGAAUUCAUUUCCUUAGUAACGUAGCUAACGCGUGAAGUUGACCGCCUGGGGAGUACGGUCGCAAGAUUAAAACUCAAAGGAAUUGACGGGGUCAUAGCUGUUUCCU
rnacentral:rRNA from 1 species